GUCGAGAAUCUUCCGCAAUGCGCGAAAGCGUGACGGAGCGACACCGCGUGAUGGAUGAAGUCCUUCGGGGCGUAAACAUCUUUUAUAAAGGAGGAAAUUUUUGACGUUACUUUAUGAAUAAGGGGCUCCCAAUCUCGUGCCAGCAGGAGCGGUAAUACGAGAGCCUCAAGCGUUAUCCGGAAUCAUUGGGCGUAAAGGGUGCGUAGGUGGUUUGAUUAGUCUCCCGUUAAAACUUCGAGCUUAACUCGAAAAGAGCGGGGGAAACGGUCAAACUAGAGUAUGUGAGAGGUGUGUGGAACUCAUGGUGUAGGGGUGAAAUCCGUUGAUAUCAUGGGGAACACCAAAAGCAAAGGCAGCACACUGGCACAUCACUGACACUGAGGCACGAAACCUAAGGUAGCGAAUGGGAUUAGAAACCCGUGUAGUCC
rnacentral:rRNA from 1 species